UACAACUUCAACGCUUCAUGCUUUGCUGUGCUGAGUAGAAAACGGUAUCGAUUUCAUGGCUUUUUCGAUAAUCCCAGUUUUCUCUGGGGCUAUGAAUAAUGAUGUAGACACGAACUAGAUUCUCCAAGAUGUGCGAGACGAAACAAUUUAUGACUAGAAGUUUUCUAACGGUAGGUCAACGUGAUGCCAGUGGCAGCGGUGGUGUUUCCGAUGCCAAGUUGCUGCCCUUUGCUGGGUGCCAGUAUCCAGCUAUUGCGAAUGCGGUAAGAGAACGAUAAAUCAGUGAAACUGUGAAAUAAUGAUGCUUUCCGGGCUUCUACACAAACAUAAAAACGCGCGCGCGUGAAAUGCGCCCAGCACUCUUGUAGGAUCAUGCAGAUUUUUUUCUUCGCGCCACAGUCACAGUUUGUCACUGUUUCCGCGAGCAAAUAGGUCAAGUAAUUUCGAAUGUCGGAAUAAUUAACGGGAGACACGAACGAGAGA